GUUCUCGUAGUUGAGUCACAACGGUGGUUUUUCAAGUCACUGGCCCUGGUUAAAUUCCUGGUGAGAACC
rnacentral:tRNA from 1 species